UUGUACUUUGGUAGUGCCGGGUGAUGCAGUUGGGGCAUCGAAGUAAUACUAUAGUAGUGCCGGGUGAUGCGAUUGGAGCACCAGACCAUACUAUAGUGGUGCCGGAUAGUAUUGUGGAGGAGCAAGGUCGUACCGAGGUGGCUCAAGAUCCUCCUGCCGCAGGGGUCGCUCAAACUGUGGCAGCGAGAAAGGGUCAGGUAGCUCCCUCCUUUCC
rnacentral:lncRNA from 1 species